UGUUUCUCGCACGUGGACACCCACCCUUUCAACCAUCCGCGUGUUUGUCAUCCAUAGGGUCCACCGCAUACCCGCGGGUGACUUUAGCCUUAAGCUUCCGGAUGCCAUAUGAUCGGGGCCAUCGAAAUCAGUAGGUUUGCAAAACACGAAACCUGAAGCACACUUCUCUCUCUCUGAAUCGAGCUGUCAGAUUGAAGAAUGGAGAAGGAGCCCAAGGUAGCGAAUGAAGAUCCGAAGGUUGAUUUGUUUGAGGAUGAUGACGAGUUUGAGGAAUUUGAGAUCAAUGAAG